GGGUGACAGAGCAAGAUUCCAUCUCAAAAAAAAAAAGAAAGAAAAAAAGAAAAAGCACUCAUUUUUGGAAGAGCCUAAGCUUAUUUCCAAAUAUCUUUUCAGAGCUAUUGUAUGUCCAGCACCAAGUAUGAACUUAAACCCAGCUGGAAGUAAACACACAAACUAUUCAUUCAUCCAUGAUCAUGUAUAUGGAGGAAUGAAGACAUCGUUCCAAAUGAAACUUUCACAACAGGCGACACAGGAUUCCCAGAAAGGUGAAAUCCGUGCAUGCUGGACUACUCCCAGGAGGUUCUGUAGAGGAAGCAGGAAGUAGCUUGGGCCCUGACUUGGCAGUGAUCGGGCCAAAUAAAUAAGACCUUGCAUUUAACCUUCCCAACCACACACUACACAGUGGAGGACACUAAGGCUUCAAGAAGCGCUUGAUUGGCCUGACGGCACACAGCGAGUGAUGGAGGAACAGCCCUCUAGAUCAUGGUCCAGGUGCAAAGGCUCCCUGGGCGUCAGAUGAUGACACUAAGGCUCAGAAAGCUUGAGAAGCCAAGAGGGCCUCAAUAAGCACAUGUGGACAGUAUUCAAGACUCGUGCGUGUUAAUGUUAAUUGAGCUCUUGCCAUGGGCCAGGCCUUGUCUCAUUGGAUGCUCCUGACCGCCCUUUGAGCAUUGCAAAUUUCCUGAGGAACCCACCUCUCUAAAGAUUCUCCAUCCACGUGCUUUGGUGAGCAGUUGAUUUUAAAUCAUUCCUGCACAACCCACUAUGGACUAGUAAAAGUCAACCUCAGGACUUCCAUCUGAGCCAUGAAUAAGAGAGACCUCUUUUUGCAUUUUUCUUCAAUCCUAGAAGAUCAUCAUGUGCAAACUGAGAACGAAGCCGAUACAGCAGCAGGCAGAGUCAGGAGGAGAGAAACUAAGACCUGAUGAUACAACUGGAGCCCUGCAUUGAACAGUGACCUCUGGACUUUCCCAGUAUGUGAACCAAUCCAUUCCUCUAGUAUUUAAUGUCCAAUUUAGCUGAGAGCUUUUCCAUAAGAUCUCAGAGGAAUGACCUGGAGCUGGGAGGUGAAGCAGGUGUUUUUAGCAGCAAAGGUGAGCUGUCCGCAUUUGGAGGGCCCAGAAAGAUGGCACCCAUGCAGAUAACCAUCCUUCUUGCUAGGUGAAAGGUGGAGUGUUAUUUUGAGGAAACAAACGGUUACUUAAGAGGCCGCUGUUGGUCACAGAACUGGGGUUGGUGGAGCUGCUGCUCCAGACCAAUUCUUCCAAAAACAGGAAGGGCUGUGAGCCUCCCGCCCAGUGGCCCACGGCAGCCAACCCCACUCCCAGCCCCACUCUACCUUCUAUCUGCAAACAGAAGCAAAGGGAAGGAGAGCCAGUCAAAUGACGGAGAAAGAAGGAAGCACUCCUGAGGACCUACUGUGUGCUGAACAGCAGACCACAAUGUAGGUACCAGCUUGACGUGGCCACUUACCGACUGUGUGCCCUUGAGCAAGUCCUUGUUACAGAUGCUCAGUAAAUAUGAGAAGGUGACAGAGCCAGCCUGCAGGGCUGUGCUGAAGGAGAGGGUGAGGCUGCUUGGCCAGGAUGAGGCCCUGGAGAGUGGGAUGGAAGGAAGAAAUCUUUUACAGGGAAGAAAAGAAGGGAUUUCCUGAGCCCAAAGCUGGAAAGCAUUAAAAAACAAACAAAACCUUUCUAUAGUUAUAAGGUGGGGGGUGUCAUAUACAAAAGAUUUCAGAAGGCUUGCUGAGAAACAGGCGUGUCAGAGGGGUGGGAAGAGAACUGGGUGGGGGUGUCAGAAACCCACGUGCCCAAGAGGCCUACACCUGCAUGGCUGAAUGACCUUACAGGUCUCUGGGACACAAUCAUGGGAAUUCGGUAAUGAAAGGACUUUUAGAAAUCACUGUGUCUGGUCAUCUCAUUGUGGAGAUGGGGAAAUUGACGCACAGGGAACAGAAGGGACUCGGCCAUGACCAUUCAACAACUCGCUCUGUCACCUGCCAGCUCUUGAAUCUCGGGCGUAUUAACCUUGCUGUGCCUCAGUUUCCUCCUAUGUAAAAUGGGGAUAACAAUCAUCCCCACCUCACAGAGCUGUGGGGAGGUUUAUAGGAUGAC
rnacentral:lncRNA from 1 species